rnacentral:snoRNA from 1 species
CCCCUUUCUGACGACGAAGUGCUCGGCUACAUGCUAGCUGGGUUGGGCUCCGAGUUCGAGCCACUGGUUGCGUCGAUCACGAUGCGCGACGAACCUGUAAGUCUCAGCAGUUUUUAUGCAUUCCUCCUUAGUGCUGAGC